GCGGGCGUAGUUUAAUGGUAGAACAUGAGCUUCCCAAGCUCAGAGCGCGAGUUCGAUUCUCGUCGCCCGCUC
rnacentral:tRNA from 2 species